rnacentral:rRNA from 1 species
UACAGAGGUCCCAAGCGUUGUUCGGAUUCACUGGGCGUAAAGGGUGCGUAGGCGGUCGGGCAAGUCUGACGUGAAAUCUCCGAGCCCAACUCGGAAACUGCGUCGGAUACUAUUCGGCUAGAGGAAUGGAGGGGAGACUGGAAUUCUCGGUGUAGCAGUGAAAUGCGUAGAUAUCGAGAGGAACACCAGUGGCGAAGGCGAGUCUCUGGACAUUUCCUGACGCUGAGGCACGAAAGCCAGGGGAGCAAACGGG